rnacentral:misc_RNA from 1 species
UCCGAGUUGACCCCGGCAGUCUCCCAUGAGUCCCCAACUAAAUGCUGGCAACAUGGGAUAAGGGUUGCGCUCGUUGCGGGACUUAACCCAACAUCUCACGACACGAGCUGACGACAACCAUGCACCACCUGUACACCGCCCCGAAGGACCUCACAUCUCUGCAAGUUUUCGGUGUAUGUCAAGCCCAGGUAAGGUUCUUCGCGUUGCAUCGAAUUAAGCCGCAUGCUCCGCCGCUUGUGCGGGCCCCCGUCAAUUCCUUUGAGUUUUAGCCUUGCGGCCGUACUCCCCAGGCGGGGCGCUUAAUGCGUUAGCUACGGCACAGGAACCGUGAACCAGUCCCCACACCUAGCGCCCAACGUUUACAGCGUGGACUAC